GUUUUUCUUUAAAAGAACACGAAACUGAGCUCGGUGAGCCUUUUGCUACAACAGUGCAGGGCUUCUGUCCAACACAGGAAACCAACCAGCAACAAAGCAGAGCUUCUCUAACACUGGGUCAUCUAGGUCUAUCAGGUUUUCUUCAACAACAGCAGAGUCUUUACAAACAUUGGUCAUUAAUACCAUACCUACCCAACACCACUUCAUCACCUCUGUUUCCUUCAUGCCAAUUAAAGUUUGAUCCACUCACCACUCUCCCCCACUGGGGACACUCUCUGCCACUUCAUCCAAGAUGCUCCAGAAUUCUUCUUUCUCUUCAAACUGACAUGCAGUUUCCAGGCAUUUGCACUGACAACAUCCAACAUCACCCCUUAAAUUUCUAGCUUCAACCUUGAUAUUAUCUGACACCUAUGGCUGGUCUUUUUAUCAAACAGAUGUAAGACUAAAAAAACAACAACUGUGUGAUACUGAGUGUUUAGAGCAGUCUGAAGUUUGAAUGUUGGGCUCAAAGGAAUUACUUUCAAAUACACUGACCACUUUAUUUACUUAAUUAUUAGUAUUUGAGCCUUUGGUCAUGUUUAGCAUAAACAUACACAAGUAGAAAGAAGAAGAACUUGUGACUGGAAAGAAGGAAAAGCAGAAUAGGUCCACUCAAAACAGAAUUAAUACUGAAUUUAAAAUAAAAUCAU